rnacentral:rRNA from 1 species
CCUACGGGUGGCAGCAGUGGGGAAUAUUGCACAAUGGGGGAAACCCUGAUGCAGCGACGCCGCGUGAGUGAAGAAGUACUUCUUUACGUAAAACUCUAUCAGCAGGGAAGAAAAUGACGGUACCUGAGUAAUAAGCCCCGGCUCACUACGUGACAGCAGCCGCGGUACUACGGAGGGAGCAGGCGUUAUCCGGAUUUACUGGGUGUAAAGGGAGCGUAGACGGUGCGCCAAGUCUGGAGUGAAAUUCCUGAGCUUAACUGCGGAACUGCCGUGGAAACUGGCGAACUGGAGUGCGGGAGGGGUAAGCGGAAUUCGUAGUGUAGCGGUGAAAUGCGUAGAUAUUACGAAGAACACCGAUUGCGAAGGCAGCUUACUGGACCGUAACUGACGUUGAGGCUCGAAAGCGUGGGGAGCAAACGGGAUUAGAUACCCUUGUAGUC